AUUGAACGCUGGCGGCAGGCCUAACACAUGCAAGUCGAACGAGUGGCGGACGGGUGAGUAAUGUCUGGGAAACUGCCUGAUGGAGGGGGAUAACUACUGGAAACGGUAGCUAAUACCGCAUACCAUCGGAUGUGCCCAGAUGGGAUUAGCUAGUAGGUGGGGUAAAGGCUCACCUAGGCGACGAUCCCUAGCUGGUGUGAGAGGAUGACAAGCCACUCUGGAACUGAGACACGGUCCAGACUCAUACGGGAGGCAGAAGUGGGGAAUAUUGCAAAAUGGGCGCAAGCCUGAUGCAGCAAUGCCGCGUGUAUGAAGAAGGCCUUCGUGUUGUAAAGUACUUUCAGCGGGGAGGCGGUACCCGCAGAAGAAGCACCGGCUAACUCCGUGCCAGCAGCCGCGGUAAUAC
rnacentral:rRNA from 1 species